rnacentral:rRNA from 1 species
CCUACGGGAGGCUGCAGUGGGGAAUAUUGGACAAUGGGCGAAAGCCUGAUCCAGCCAUGCCGCGUGUGUGAAGAAGGCCUUCGGGUUGUAAAGCACUUUCAGUGGGGAAGAAAGCCUUGGGGCUAAUACCCUCGAGGAAGGACAUCACCCACAGAAGAAGCACCGGCUAACUCCGUGCCAGCAGCCGCGGUAAUACGGAGGGUGCGAGCGUUAAUCGGAAUUACUGGGCGUAAAGCGCGCGUAGGCGGUCUGAUAAGCCGGUUGUGAAAGCCCCGGGCUCAACCUGGGAACGGCAUCCGGAACUGUCAGGCUAGAGUGCAGGAGAGGAAGGUAGAAGUCCCGGUGUAGCGGUGAAAUGCGUAGAGAUCGGGAGGAAUACCAGUGGCGAAGGCGGCCUUCUGGACUGACACUGACGCUGAGGUGCGAAAGCGUGGGUAGCAAACAGGAUUAGAUACCCCAGUAGUC